rnacentral:rRNA from 1 species
GACGAACGCUGGCGGCAGGCUUAACACAUGCAAGUCGAACGCCCCGCACGUGGUGUGGCAGUCGGGUGAGUAGCGCGUGGGAAUCUACCCAUCCCUACGGAAUAACGCAUGGAAACGUGUUCUAAUACCGUAUACGCCCUACGGGGGAAAGAUUUAUCGGGGAUGAAUGAGCCCGCGUUGGAUUAGCUAGUUGUUGGGGUAAGGCCUACCAAGGCGACGAUCCAUAGCUGGUCAGAGAGCAUGAUCAGCCACAUUGGGACUGCGACACGGCCCAAACUCCGACAGGAGGCAGCAGUGGGGAAUAUUGGACAACGGGCGCGAGUCUGAUCCAGCCAUGCCGUGUGAGUGAUGAAGGUCUUAGGAUUGUAAAGCGCUUGGUACGGAGAAGAUAUUGACGGUAUUCGGAGAAGAAGCCACGGCUAACUCCGUG